CAAAUCUCAGGGAAAUCUUCUGAUACUGACAAUUUACCCUGUACUGAUUUAUACAUGAGUGAUGAAAUUCAAAAAAAAUCACAAGGGGAAUCUGUCAUCAAUGAUCCAUUUGAAUCCUCUGCCUCAUCCAAUAUCAUUGCAAGCAAUGGGAUCUCCACAAGUUUACCUGAUCCAAUUUCCUCACAGAAUUUUGCCAGUGAGCAGAUGCUGCAAAUCUCAGGGAAAUCUUCUGAUCCUGACAAUUUUCCCUAUACUGAUUUAUACAUGAGUGGUGAAAUUCAUAAAAAUUCACAAGUGGAAUCUGUCAUUAGUGAUCCAUUUGAAUCCUCUGCCUCAUCCAAUAUCAUUUCAAGCAAUGGGAUCUCCACGAGUUUACCUGAUCCAGUUUCCUCACAGAAUUUUGCCAGUGAACAUAUGUUGCAAAUCUCAGGGAAAUCUUCUGAUACUGACAAUUUACCCUGUACUGAUUUAUACAUGAGUGAUGAAAUUCAAAAAAAUUCACAAGUGGAAUCUGUCAGCAAUGAUCCGUUUGAAUCCUUUGCCUCAUCCAAUAUCAUUGCAAGCAAUGGGAUCUCCACAAGUUUACCUGAUCCAAUUUCCUCACAGAAUUUUGCCAGUGAGCAGAUGCUGCAAAUCUCAGGGAAAUCUUCUGAUCCUGACAAUUUUCCCUAUACUGAUUUAUGCACAAGUGAUGAAAUUCAUAAAAUUUCACAAGUGGAAUCUGUCAUCAGUC
rnacentral:lncRNA from 1 species